UACAGAGGUGGCAAGCGUUGUUCGGAAUUACUGGGCGUAAAGGGCGCGUAGGCGGUUCGUUAAGUCCUGUGUGAAAUCCCCCGGCUCAACUGGGGAACUGCACAGGAAACUAGCGGGCUUGAGUUCGGGAGAGGGAAGCGGAAUUCCGGGUGUAGCGGUGAAAUGCGUAGAUAUCCGGAGGAACACCGGUGGCGAAGGCGGCUCCUGGACCGACACUGACGCUGAGGCGCGAAGCUAGGG
rnacentral:rRNA from 1 species